AUUGAACGCUGGCGGCAGGCCUAACACAUGCAAGUCGAGCGGAUGAAGGGAGCUUGCUCCUGGAUUCAGCGGCGGACGGGUGAGUAGUGCCUAGGAAUCUGCCUGGUAGUGGGGGAUAACGUCCGGAAACGGGCGCUAAUACCGCAUACGUCCUGAGGGAGAAAGUGGGGGAUCUUCGGACCUCACGCUAUCAGAUGAGCCUAGGUCGGAUUAGCUAGUUGGUGGGGUAAAGGCCUACCAAGGCGACGAUCCGUAACUGGUCUGAGAGGAUGAUCUGUCACACUGGAACUGAGACACGGUCCAGACUCCUACGGGAGGCAGCAGUGGGGAAUAUUGGACAAAGGGCGAAAGCCUGAUCCAGCCAUGCCGCGUGUGUGAAGAAGGUCUUCGGAUUGUAAAGCACUUUAAGUUGGGAGGAAGGGCAGUAAGUUAAUACCUUGCUGUUUUGACGUUACCAACAGAAUAAGCACCGGCUAACUUCGUG
rnacentral:rRNA from 1 species